AACAGGAUUAGAUACCCUGGUAGUCCACGCUGUAAACGAUGUCGACUUGGAGGUUGUGCCCUUGAGGCGUGGCUUCCGGAGCUAACGCGUUAAGUCGACCGCCUGGGGAGUACGGCCGCAAGGUUAAAACUCAAAUGAAUUGACGGGGGCCCGCACAAGCGGUGGAGCAUGUGGUUUAAUUCGAUGCAACGCGAAGAGCCUUACCUACUCUUGACAUCCAGAGAAUUUGCUAGAGGUAGCUUAGUGCCUUCGGGAACUCUGAGACAGGUGCUGCAUGGCUGUCGUCAGCUCGUGUUGUGAAAUGUUGGGUUAAGUCCCGCAACGAGCGCAACCCUUAUCCUUUGUUGCCAGCACGUAAUGGUGGGAACUCAAAGGAGGCUGCCGGUGAUAAACCGGAGGAAGGUGGGGAUGACGUCAAGUCAUCAUGGCCCUUACGAGUAGGGCUACACACGUGCUACAAUGGCAUAUACAAAGAGAAGCGAACUCGCGAGAGCAAGCGGACCUCAUAAAGUAUGUCGUAGUCCGGAUUGGAGUCUGCAACUCGACUCCAUGAAGUCGGAAUCGCUAGUAAUCGUAGAUCAGAAUGCUACGGUGAGUACGUUCCCGGGCCUUGUACACACCGCCCGUCACACCAUGGGAGUGGGUUGCAAAAGAAGUAGGUAGCUUAACCUUCGGGAGGGCGCUUACCACUUUGUGAUUCAUGACUGGGGUGAAGUCGUAACAAGGUAACC
rnacentral:rRNA from 1 species